UGGUCUCUUCCAGGAAGUCAGCAAGGCUGGCUAGGAACAGCACUGCUGGGAUCCUGCUUUUGGGAAGCUGAGUGUCUCCAUACAAAGGGCUUGCUCCAAGGCACUUUCCUCAAAUGGAUAUGGCCCAUUAGACCAGAGUCUCUUGCAAUGCAAAUUUCCUCUUUGUCCUGAAGAAUGGAGUCCACAAUGGCAGAAACAACAGACUCUCAACCCAAUACUGAGGAUGGUAUAAAGGAAAAGGCUCAGGAGAGUUCUCCUGGUCAGCCUCAUGCUCUGGAUAACUCAAUGUCUUUUUCUGAGAUCCUCCGUCUGGUCCAGGCUGGGCAGGACAUCCCUGGACUGCAGAAGCUGAACAUCACCGCAACUAAUGGGACUGCAACACCGUCUCAAAUGGCUCCUAAACCCAAACCUUGGGAGAACAAGCAGUGAUGAAUGGAAAGCCUUUUCACUCAUCUUCCAUGCCAGAAAUAAAUAUUUGUGAACUUCUGAAGUUUGUUUAUGCCCUUGCUCAAUGUUAGAACCUUGCGAGUCCGCAUGCUCACAUUGUUUGUGGACAAAGGGUUAUUUUUGAUACUGUUAUUAAACUCUCCUGUCCUUGUG